GAUGAACGCUGGCGGCGUGCCUAAUACAUGCAAGUCGAGCGAACAGACGAGGAGCUUGCCCCUCUGACGUUAGCGGCGGACGGGUGAGUAACACGUGGAUAACCUACCUAUAAGACUGGGAUAACUUCGGGAAACCGGAGCUAAUACCGGAUAAUAUAUUGAACCGCAUGGUUCAAUAGUGAAAGACGGUUUUGCUGUCACUUAUAGAUGGAUCCGCCGCAUUAGCUAGUUGGUAAGGUAACGGCUUACCAAGGCAACGAUGCGUAGCCGACCUGAGAGGGUGAUCGGCCACACUGGAACUGAGACACGGUCCAGACUCCUACGGGAGGCAGCAGUAGGGAAUCUUCCGCAAUGGGCGAAAGCCUGACGGAGCAACGCCGCGUGAGUGAUGAAGGUCUUCGGAUCGUAAAACUCUGUUAUUAGGGAAGAACAAAUGUGUAAGUAACUAUGCACGUCUUGACGGUACCUAAUCAGAAAGCCACGGCUAACUACGUG
rnacentral:rRNA from 1 species